AGCCGAUGAUAGGGGGGGGUCGAGUGAAGUCGACGCAAGUAAAACGACGGUUGGAUGUGCGUCGCGCGCGCUCGCUGUUGUUUCGUGUUUUCGGUAGUGAAACAAACGUAAUCUAUAGAUAAUCCAAUGUUAUUUCGCAUGUGUUCGUGACCUCGAAUCUCAUGAUAACGCGAUGCCGUGUGUACGAGCAACUACGAGAUCAUUGCGGCGAACAUCGAAGUUCCGACGAUCAACGUGAUCAACGACGCAACCGCCAUUAUCCUCAUGAUUCGUGACAUCGUGGGUUAACAAUGGGAAUGUUGUGCUAAGUAUCUUGGGAUCCUUGUAUUCUACAACGAGCAACGUACGUGAUCGUAUUUAAGUGCGUUUCGAAAGUAUUGUGUCGUAUUGUGAGUGCCAUCAAGGAAUCAGAAGAGGAGGAGGAGACAUCAGGUGGCAGCGGAGCAACAUUUCGCUAUCAUCAACUCCGCUGCUGCGCAUCAUAUGGUCAAUCGUAUUUACCAGAGCAACCACAGCGUAGCGUCACAAUACCGUUGCGCACCAUAUUGGUAGGUUUCGAAUUUUUUUUUAUUUUAGUACGAGGUAAUGAAUCUCUCUGUGAAUUCCACGAAUAAAAUGUAACAUCUCUUUCAUAGAUCCAUUGCCUCGAAAUGAGUGGGUGGAAUUGAGAUUAUUGAGAUGCAGAUUCUGCGUAUAAACAUGCGUAUGCCAUGCGAUUUGUAAAUUACAAUUCAAAUUCAACUGUAGUUGAUUAUUCUGUGCUGCGAUAUUCAGCACAUCAGAGCAACCCGUGAAACUAUCUAUUUAAUUUCGCAGAAACCUUGAAUCUUGCGUCGAGGGAUUUCUGAGUUUCAGGCUCCAUCGAGAUCUCGUUUAAAACCUACAAUUGUGUUCCUUUCGCUUUUUAAAUUCAUUACUCCGUAAAUUG